UUGGGAUAUAAGCCCAAUAGUAACACUGCCGAAUCAAAGGGUAUGCACCGUUUGAUAACUAUAAAGAGCAUACAUGCUACAAGUUUUUAAAGGAAUAGGUAGCACUGUUUCCCUAGAAAGAGGUAAUUUCACUGGGUUCAUGGAUUGUUUAGUUUUCAUUUUGGAUCCCAAUGACUAUUCCAAGAAUUUAUAUUUUCUAUAUAUUUAAUAAUUGGUUGUGGAAUUGAAAUAUGAACAAAGAUAACAUGUUAAUAGAUAGUAACAUAUAGGUCUAAAAUCAUGUUCAAAAACUCAAUUUUAAAAAUAUAGGAUAAGAGAGUCAUGAUUAAACAUUUAUAAUAUUUUAGUUCAUUAAAUAUUAGUGGAUAUGUUAACUGACAUAUAUUCAUUUUUAUUGAACUCUAUUCAGGUAAAUUUAUUCUACCAUAUUACAUUUGGAAGAAAGAUAAACAGUUCAAAUCCAGACUUAGCCAUUUAUUAACAGUGUAAUAUUGUGAGCAAAUCACAUAAGUUGUCUCAGCCUCUGUUCCUUCAUAUAUACAAUAGAGAAAAUGAUAGCACUUACUUUCUAGGAUUACUAUGAAGAUAAAAUGAGAUAAUAUUUGUAAAGAUCUUUGUGAGCUUUUAAAACAUUGUAAAUGUUAUUAUAAUAAUGAGAAUUGUUGUUGGCCAAAAAAAUAAUUUGUGGAACAAUUUGGCUUCCAUUUAAUACUGAAGGUAUCUAAAAUUAUCUCUCAAAGACUUCAGGUGAAGAAACAAUGAAAUUAUGAAAUGAUUAAUGGCAAGUAAGUGGAUAACAUUCAGUCUAAAAGAUAUAGCUGCUUCAAGCUUUAUUUAGAAAAAUUAAGAAAAUUUCCAUCUAAGAAGUACGUUGAACAAAUCAAAGUCAUAAAAUUACUGUAUUUUAUAGAAUUAAUCAAGAAACAUUACUUUGAUGAUUCAUUAAGGUCUAAUGACUACCCAAAAGCUUAAAAAGAACACAAGAAUAAAGUUAAAUAAUUAUAAUCCAGAACCUAUAAUAUAGAAUUAUAUGUAAUUAUGGUGUAAAGAAGCUAGCAGUAUGAUACUUAGAGAAUUUUUUAUUGUUGAAAGACACCUCAAAUUUCAUCUCCAUUCUUAGAAAAGACUCCUAGAGUCUUUCCAGAAUGGAAUUUGCUCGUUUCAGUUAUAAAAGACUGAUAUGAGUUUUUUUUUUUUCAUUUUUUCCCUGGAUAAAUGAAUUAAAUUUUUAAGAUUUCCUUUAUGGUCUUAUUUUAAAAUAGUACUUUGAGUAGAAGGUCUGAAAAAAACAAACUUUUCAGACCUAAAACAAUUUUGAUUUCAUGAUUAUACAACAUUGUGACAUGAUAGUUGUCCCAUAAAUACCAAGGACUCAUAUAUCAAAAAGCUUUGUUGUGUAAUGUCCUAUUAAAUAAUGAAACUACAUCUGCAUAUGUGAAGAAGCCUACAAUUUAAAUUUUACUUCAAUGUCAAUUUAAGUAUCCUUCCCACACCGAGUUUAUGGUUUGUACAAAUUAUACCAUCGAUGUAUUGACUAGUAUAAUGGUAAUAUUGUGUCAUUAUUUCCUAAUGUCAAUCAUAUUUCUUGAAUACACAGUAAAGAAAGUCAAAAUAAAUAUUUGCAUUUAUAAUGGCUAAAAUGUUUUAGAGAUAUACAGUUGUUAUCUUCUUGUAAUGAAGAAUAGAUGUAAAGGAUCCUUAGACACACUUUAUACUUAGGUGCAGAUUUGGCUUUCCCUAAAUUUAUGUAAAAUGUAACUGUUCACAAAUCAAUUUUUUAAAUUGUAAUUUACCCUGUGUUCACAACUUCAAAGAAGGACAAUUAUCAAGGAAGACGAGAAAUUUCAGUUUCUCUAACUUAACAUUAAUUAUAUUCAGCAAAUUAAGCAAAAAUUUCAGAACAUCCUUAAAAAUUAAAGUUGGUAUUACUUGAUAUGAAAAUGGGAGCAUGAGACAUGGAAAGAAUAACUAGAAUCAGAAAAUUGUUUUUCAUGUUUCCUUUUCUCUGUGAUUUUAUAAACAUUAUUGACUGUGUUUCAAAUAUCUCCGCCAGUCAAUAAACAUUUGUUAAAUAAUUUAUGUAUCAGGUACCACACUAAAUGCUGAGAAUUUUUUUUAAAAGGGCCAAAAAUAGUUCUAGCUCUCAAGGAACUGAUGAACCAAAGUGAUAAAAGGGCAGACAGAUUCAAACAACUGCAUAUAAACAAGAAUUAUAUAGGAUGAACUGUCUAUAAUCAAGAGAUGAAAGAAUAAUAAGGGCAUGGUUUCCAGUAGAAAAUGGAAUUUUAGCUAGCACUUAGAAAUCAAAAGGCAAGGAUGAGUAUGAGAGCAUCCCAAACAUGGGGAAGAGCAAGGUAAACAUAUUUGAAGUCAAGAAAUUGAAUGUCUUUUUUUGAGGAGCAGAAAAGAGGUAAGUGUCACUGAUUUAGAGAGUAUAUAUUAAGGUGUAGGAUGGAAGAAGAAUAAAAGGUAGGAACUGGUUAUGGCAGAAUUUUUUAAAUGUACAAUUCAUGGAAAUUUUAAUUCAUGGAGGGAACUCAUUGUAAAGAAUAUUUUCUUUGAAAAAAAAAAAAGUAAAAUAAGAGCUAAAUACUCCUGCCUUUUCUUCAUCAGCUAUUACUAUUAUCUGAGUUACUAUGAGUAUUAGUCGUUUUCAUCCAUUUCUAUCAUUUGUUCCAUAGAAACUUUUGUUUAGAAUUUCAUUAUUACCAUAUCUCUUUGUCUUUGAAGAAUUUAAAACUAUGGAAUCUUAAGUUUAUUUUCUUUAAAUUAUUUGAAAUCCAGAGUGGAUGUCAGAAUAGCCGUGGCCUAACUGUACUCUAUUAUAAAUUUUAAAAUAGAUGUCUCAUUUCUCCCCCAAAAUUCCCCAAGCAAGCAAUUCAUUAACUUUGGUCAGAAUUGGGACCCUAAACAAAAACAACUAUCCCCCAUCUGUUCUUCUUUUGAAAAAUCAAAAUUGUCACUAGGUCAAGAAGGAAUCAAGAUUUCUGCUUUUGGCAGAAAUAGUGGAAAGGAAAUGAUGAAUUUUAAAUCUAAUGAGAUAAUAACAAUUGUAGGAAAGGAAGAAGUGAGGUAGAAAUAUACAUAUAUAUAUAUAUAUAUAUAUAUAUAUAUGAAUAAAUUCAUUAAUCAACUUCAAAGUAUCUUAGAUUUUUGAACAUUGCAUGGAAGCCAUUGUUACCAAAGAAAAUACAUUUAAUAGACAGCUAAAAGAAUCAGCCAUGCUCUUUAGCUACACACACACACACACACACACACAUGCAUAUGUGGACACAUGUGCAUAAAUACAUAAACAAAAAGUACAUGGAUAUAAAUAUGUGCCCACUGCAUACAUGUAUAUUGUGGAUAUUCAUGAAUUUAUUUACAUUCAUGUAUACAUGUAUAUUCAUGCAUGUAUGUUUAUAUGUAGGUAUACACAUGCAUUCAUUGCUGCAACAAUAUUGCGCCAAAGAAGAACUUCUCAAUAAAAGAAAAAAGGUUUCCAGACCCCAUAAUAAGAGAAAGUAUGACUGUCUUUGUCAAACAUGUAUCCUCCAUGUGUUUUACUCUCAUUUUACUCUAAGAAUAAGCCUAUUCUUUCCAUGGAUGAUUUACAUACUUAUGGGAGGAAAAAUCUUGAAAUUUGGAGGUUGUGUUAUAUUUAUAUUAUUCUUAUUAACCACCCUACUCAGAAAAUAAUGAUACUAAAACAUGACAGAGAAAUUAAAGAAAUAAAUAUUGGUCUAGGAGUGAGUCAUAUAUAGAAAUCAGAUUAUUCAGGAGAAAGAGAAAAAUCUGUCAUAUUAGAGUUCAAAGGGGAAAAAAAAAUUAAGUCCAAAGGCAAAAAAUUUAGAGAAAAUCUAUUUCAUUUAUUUAGCUAAGAGAAAGAAGAAUCAUCUGACAUGUAAAAAAUAACCAAAAAGGAGAAAGAAGAAUCCUGAGAAAACCCUGUUUCAUCAAAGAAAGGCAAGACUUUUUAGAGGUCAACAAACUUCCUUUAGAUAUUUGGCACAAUUUUGUAAUAUUCAUUGUCCCCUAUCUAUUUUGUUGGUAUUGUAUUAUAAUAAUAUCAGUGCAUUAUUAUUCUAAGCAAAAUAAAAUUUGAAAAACAAAAUGUGAUUCCAAAAAAUCAGGUAGUAGGAUACAAAAUAAUAAAAAUAAAAAAAACAAAUUAUUGCUCUAUUUUCUCCUGUCGUAUUAUAUAGUUACUCAUCCUUUCAACAUCAGAUAUAACUUACCAGUUUAUGCUUAUAUUCCAUCACUGAGCUUUAUAAAUACUCUACAUAACAAUGUAUAUAAUGAAUAACAAUGCAUAUAAUGAAUUUAUCUAAUAAAUAUAUUCCAUACUAUUAUAUGGGGAAUUAAAGUUCUACCUUCUAUGUUUCAGACAUGCUGCUUAAUGAUAUAAAGAAAGGGGGGAAAAUAAUACUUGCCCUGAAUGAGUUUACUAUGCUAAUAAAGGAGACAAUAUACAAAAAAGAAAAGCAUACACAACUGUAUAAUCAAGAUAUAUUCUAGAUUAAUUGAAUUAAUUGUUGGGCAGGAUAUCAAGAGGAUUCUCAUUAAUGUAUAAAUUGAAGUAGAUGACAUCUAAAAUCCCUUUCUAUUCUGAAAUUCUACAAAAGCACAUGAUAACCUCAAUCUGCCACUGUUUUGGAUUAGGUUAAAAUGGUUACAUCUAACAGAAUGUAAAAUUCAUAGCAAGAAAAAUUUAUGUCUAUCACAAUUCCAUUACUUCCUUUCAAUUUUCUUCCCCUUCUGGGUUGAGUGAGAUACUGCCUUCCUGAUAUAAGUAUAUACCACCAAUGCAACUCUCACAGAACUUUGCUGUUUCUUUCAGCAUAGUUGCAUCUAAGACAUUUAUUAAUAUUAAUAAUAUCCCACCUGAGGAAUGUUUAAAUUGGGGGAUAUUCACAUUGAUUAGAUCAUUCUGGAGGAAUGAAGUAUCUUUCAGAUACAAUGGAAUGCAUUUCUCAUGUUGGCAUAUAGAGUUAAUGUUAGAAAGUAGGAUGGAUAUUUUUGGGAGAAAAGUCUUUUUUGGGAGGAAACUAUACUAUAUAAAUAGCCACUUCUUCAGUUGACUCCUAAACAAAUCUUCUGGGUUACUUUAUUUAUUGAAUACUCAAUUACUAAAAUGAAUAUUCAAGAUCAUCUUGAGUUAAAUUAUAUAAACAUUAUUUAGUUAUGUUGUUUGACAACAGGAGUAAUGUGCAUAAAUUAGGAAAUAUCAUUUUUACCUUUUUUGUCUCUUCAGGUAUUAGCACAAUACUUGGUACUUUAAGCAUAUACCCUACAGUCUCAUCCAAAUCAUCUGUCUUGGUCCUAUCCAAUCCUAUCCAAUUUAGAAUAAGAUGGUCAUGCCCUCCCUGACUUCUCAAGG